UGGAAAUUGACAAUGCCCCACGGAUAACAUCAAAGAUUAAGAAUUCCCCACAGCAAUAAAGACCUAACAACUAGAAAAAUUAGUGGAGUGGAAUGAUGUACAUUGGCACAUGAUACUUUAAAGCCUCACAAUAUGAAAAGUAGGUUCCACAUUACAUCUCAUUUUUUGGGGAUAAAUUCUUCAUCUCCACACCUGAUCUUCUAAUGAAAGCUGAAAGAAUCCAUAAAAAAGAACACUUUCCACCUCCCAUACCCACCAUCUCAACUUGUUGGGAUCCACCUCAUCUUUGAUUCCCAUAACACACAACUAUAGAAACCAAAAACAGGAGCAGAAAACUAUGAUGGGUGAAAGAACCAAAGAUGAAUAAAGAUAAUAAUAAGAUUGAUCAACUAUUAUUUACAAUAAAUAAUGAAAAAUUAUGGUGAAUAAUACCUAAAUGGGGCUUGAUCUUUGCAAUAUCCCCACAAGAGGCUUUUAACCCCUUUUUAUAGGUUCUGUAACUAAUUUUAAAAAAAAAUGGGGAAAAUAAUUUCUCAGAAUUUUGUCCGCCUUUGACCUUGCAUUGUUCCCACUACAUUGUUAACACUCAAUUUCAACUACCUGAAGCUUGGUCGAAAUAUAUUUAUUUUCACUACGCAACGAUUUGAUCAAGCUUUAAUCCCUCGAGCCAUGCUUGGCAAGCCACAUGAUCACUGGAUUCACUCUGGGGAUUUGAACUAGAAUCGUCAAGAGAACCCGAGACUGAAAUAGCUUUUUCUUCUGUCUCAGAUGGUGAGUCCUUCAACACUGCUUGAACCCAGGACACAUCAGGCUCCUCACCACAAUUCCCAUUUGAAUAUAAUUUCUGUAACAGACCCACUUCAUCUUCUCUAAUGGACCAAUCUACAUUCACACCAUUAUAUGUGAGGUUAGAACCAAUUUCCUGUGAGCUUAAGCUGCCUAACUGUAAUUGCAGCUUUUCGCUGCGAGCAAGAGUAGACAGCUGGGAGCUCAGUGGGGAUGUAGGCUCAUUGAGCUGAGGUAACAUCUUCAUUGGUGAGGAACAAUCAAAAGAAGCCUGAAAAGGAGAAUAAUCAACAUUCUUUGGAGAAAAGACACCUGUCUUAAUUGGAGAAAGCAUGCUUUGCUGCUGGAAUUCAUUAAGAACAGCAGGUUUGUAUGAAGGGAAGAAAACAGGUGCAGCGCCCAGUUGAUAAAUGUUCUGCGGAGAUGAAACCUCAUAAGACAAAAGCCUGUCAAGAACUGAAGCAUUCAACUGUUUCAAAUUUGCUGAGGAAGAGUUGUGAUAUGGCUGAGAAAUGCAGGACAGCUCGUUCAGGAGUCGUAAUUGCUGCAAUUCAAAAUCUUGGAUCCCAUUAAACUCCUCAGAUGGAAUGUCUCUUGCAUUAAGAGAAGUUCUCAGGCGGUUAGCUUGAAGGUUGUUGCUUAGGAUUUUCAAAUUCAAGAUAUUUUGCUGAGGCCAAGCCAUGGACAAGCGUAGGUCAUUUCUAGACGCAGACAUAGGUGGAGUGAAUGAAAGGGGUGACACGGCAGAAACUGCUGAGGGGGAGCCAGACAAAAGGUUCAACGCUGCAGUGAAAUCCACGGCAGCUGCUUGAGGAGAUGGCACAGCAGCGCCAGUAGACGCGUACAGCGGCCUCAAUUCAUCAGAUGUGUGAGCAAAAAAGCAUACCCGACGUAUGCAACUGGUGCCAUCCUUGCAAAGCCGAGUCCUGCAUUGGGCUGGGUGUAGCCAGCACUAAAAAAUCCCAAGAGAGUAUUCACACAAAUCCCCACGCCUACAAACCCCUUUCCUGUGAUCUGGACAUGGCACACAGCUGUAAUGGAACCUCCUUGGGUCUCUUCUGCGUGCAUUCUCACCUGGAUGAACAAAAGGACACUCAGUCCAGUCAUGGGAAUAUGCACGGGAACAAGGCUGGAUCUUAAACGAGAACAUCCGGAACUCAUCCGUAGCAUAAAUGCUGUUCGUAAUAUCUGGAACAGACGGAUCAACAUGGUAUUCUUUCUUAGCAGAUGAAAUAUGCACAUCAUUAAUCUUGCUUGUAAUUGGUGACAGUAUUGAACCUGAGAUAGAAAAUGAGGAACCUUCUUCUGAUAACAAUGAAAUGGAUGGCAAACUAGAUCUCAAACAAUUAGUUGAAACCUGCAAAUCCGAUUGACUUGCAGAACCAUCAUUCUUUAAGAGCUUUUCAAGGGCAAAUUUCAAAUAGGGAAAAUUUGGAGAAGCAACAAUAACAUCAAUAGGGCGAUGCCCAUUGGCAUCAGUGCUAUUAGGAUCAGCACCAGCAAGAAAAAGCAACUUAACGGCAUCAAUAGCAUUAACAGACCCACCAGAAGCAGCACAAUGAAGGGCAGUUCUUUUAUCUGGACCACAAGAGAAAUUUACAUCCACCUCUGGUAGAGAAAGAAUGAGCUUCAACACUUCAACACUGCCGUAUUUAGCAGCAACCAUUAGAGGGGUUCGAUGCUCAAGAACUCCCCUUUUCAACACCCUCUGAUGACCAUACCAGAGUCCAACCUCCAUAAUCUCAGAUUCAUCACACACCGUUCGCUUGAAACCCUCAACAUCAUUAUCUGCUGCAUACUCAAGCAACACAGAAAAUGAAUGUUCUGCUUCAACUGUACCAAUUGAAUUAUCCAUAUCUAUUCUACAAUAAAAGAACUGCUUUCAGUAUAGAGGAUGGAGCUGGAGUCUUGGACUUCUUCAGAUAUAGGCCCUUACACAUCAUUCAACUAGAACCAGUUUGAAGAGAAUCAAAUACAAAUCUACAGGAAACAAACGCAUACAAGGACUAUAAGAAUCGAAUACAAAUCUGAACAGUAAUGAUGCUCUAUGCACUAAGCUUCCACCAACAUAAAAUUAGAAUUAAACAAAAAGAACCCAACAGUUCGAAUAUUGCAAGUUUAACAAAAGAAAAGGGGGAAAAAAGAGAAAAUUUUACAAAAAACAUUUAAAACAAAUAGAAGGUAGCCACGUAAGAGAGUUUGAGAAAACUCAUCAGAGAAACAAUUUUCAAGAGAGAAAUGAAAAGACAAAGUCAUUUAGGGUUGGGAUUCAAGGGAUUUAGAAAGAUGCAUUUAUAGGAAAAAGAAGGCUAUCAUUUUUACAUAAAGGGAAAGAAAAUCUCUGCGGAGAUAUGAUAUGCUGAUAUGGAAGGAUCGAACAACUACAGAUUCUGGCCAUUUGGCGACAUAGAAAAAAAUUUGUGAUUUAAGAACAAGACAUUGAACAUGAUCAUUUCUGGUUUUCUAUGAUAUCUGUCUCUGUAAGCAAGCAAAUAGCAUAAGGCCAUUUUAUUUUGAUCGCAAAAUACCAAUAAUUUUUGAAAUCGGAAAUUUCU
rnacentral:misc_RNA from 1 species